UGGUUUAGCUCCAAUGCAAGAUUAGCAGAUUCCUUAAUUUUAUUUUGUAAAGAUGCAAUCAAAGUUUGUUUCUCAUCAUGCAGCGACUGCAAACUUUCUUUCAAACUACUAAGCUCCGAUACAAGUUUGGAAGAUUCAUCGGUUUUAUCCUGUGUAGAUGCCACCAAAGCUUGAUUUUCAUGAUGCAGAGACUGCAAACUUUCUUUCAAAUGGUUUAGUUCUGUUGCAAGCCUGGCAGAUUCUUCCAUUGACGCAAUCCAAGUUUUCUUUUCAUUAUGUAGAGACUGCAAGCUUUGCUUCAAACUGCCAAGCUCCAAUGCAAGUUUGACAGAUUCCUCAGUUUUAUCCAGUGAAGGCAUCAUCAAAGCCUGAUUUUCAUCAAGGUUGGCAGCUUCUGCAGCUUUAUCAAGUGAAGAUAUACUCAAAGCUUGGUUUUCAUCAAUUAGAGAUUGCAAGUUAUUUCCUAUAUUGCUUAACCCUGAUGCAAGCCAUACAGACUCCUCUGUUUUAUCCCUUGAAGAUGCCAUCAAAGCCUGAUUUUCAUCAUACAGAGAUUGCAAACUUUCUUUCAAGAUCUUCAGUUCUGAUGCAAGCUUGAUGCAUUCCUCAUUUUUAUCCUGCAAAGAUGCUGUUAAAGCAUGGUUUUCCUUGGUGAGUUCUGUUGCCGUCACGGUCUCUAAUACUAAGAUUUCAUGAGCAAGGUCCCUAUUCUUAGAAGUAAGUUCUUCUAGCCCAACUUCUAGACGAUCAAGAUCAGAGAAAAGCUCAUUGUGCUGCUCUGUGAAUCUUUCUUCAAUUUUGGAGCUAACCUCAAGUCUGUUAGCAAAAGUGUCAAUAUAUAAUUGAAGCUUCUGCAGCAACGCAUUCGACACAUCUAAUUUAUCCACCAUCCUCAUUAUUUCAUGUUCAAACUUCUGCUUCAACAUUGUAAUCUCAGAUUCAGCUGCAAUAGUGGACAGUUGUGCAACAUCUCUUUCAUGCAUUAGACAUUUCUUCUCUUCUACAAGUUGGAGAAUCCUUUCACAUGCAUUAUGCUGAAGCUCUUCCAAUUGCAUUACAACACCAAUUAAGUCCCUGGACAGCAAAUCCGGAUUGUCAGAUUCACUCAAGGGAGGCAAUCCAUUGAUAUUUUUGUUUUUGUAGGACGCCAGUAAGUUCUGCAAUUUACAUUGCAUAAAAUUGACAAAAUUCUGCAGGUUUUGCUUCUGAGAAGCCAGCUCAUCAAACUCAGUUUUGAUAGUUUUCAACUCAUCCUGCAAAGAGAAGUUCUCACGUUGAAGAAUCCCAUUUUCUAGGGUUUUCUUUUCCAACAAGCAUGCCAAAUCUGCAUUCUCUGAAGAACACGCCUCAUACUUGCUCUCAAAGCCUCUGUAUUGAAUCACCUGAGCUUCCAAUUGAGUAAUCUUCUGCACAAGAUGAUGAUUGUCAUGGGUCACAUUUUGUAAACUCACCUCCAAACAUUGUUUUUGUUGAGUUAUAUCAUCACACUUAGCAAUGCAAUUAGCCUUGUACUCAUUGAGAAAGUGAACAUCAUCCAUUGCAGUCUGCAACUUUUGCAUCAGUAAUGCCUUUGACUCAGCUGAAAGCACUAGCUGCUGCUUAAGCUCAUUUACUUCCUCAUUCAUAAGCUUUACAUCUUCAUUUGAACAGAGCAAAGUUUCCUGGAGAGCCCUUGAAAGCACAUCCAAGUAGAUAUUCACAAAAUGCAUUUCACAAACUUCUUCUUCAACCUUCUGGUAAAGACCUUCCCGUAAGUGGAGUGAUCUCUUCAAGUCAUCUAGAAGAGAAUCUCCACCCAACUGCUGUUUCCUUAAGCCAUCAGAUUGAUUUUGAAAUUGCAAGAGUUUUGCUUCAUAUUCCCCCGAAUCAAAUCCUUGAACACUUUCUUGUGAAGAAUAUACAAAGGCUUGCCUUAUGAGAUUCUCAUUAGUCUCAUACAUAGACAAAACCUGGAAAGAAAGCAGUUCAAGGUCCUUCUGUAACUGGUCCACAGCGAUAGAGUAGUUCAAACGUGCCCGUUUGAGUGCUGCUUCUGCAGUCACAGCCCUUCUUUCAAGCUCUUUGUUGAGGGAAUCUAUAUCAUGUUUGUCUUCAGCAAGUCUUAAUAUCUGAUUAUUCAGGUCUUGGCACGUAGACUCCAUCUCAGCCUUAGCGGACGAAACUGUAUACAAGCAAGUUGAGUGCUCAUUUCUGAGACUUUGCAACUCAUGCAGCAUCUGACUCUGAUUUUCCUCGAGUUCCCGGACAAGGGCUUCAUAGUAGCACUCCAUCUGGUCCAUUUUCUUGGCAAGGCUCUCCCAUUCUGCUUUUGACUCAUCCAACUCUCUCAAAAGCUCAAAAAUCUUGCUUUUCAUUGCAUUGAUUGUAUCUACAGCAUCAGCUUCAUGAGAAAUCAGGCCAGGUAUGUUAAGACAAUGAAGCAUACCGAGCUCCGGUUGAUAUAAGUCCACAUCAAACCCUGUACCUGUUGCAAACUGGCCAUUUUUAUGCAGACUCAUUUCUCUAAUCUCCUUUAUGCUCGCUCCUUCUGAGGGUAACAAGUUGAGACUAGAAGCUGAUAGUCCACUUGCUUGUUUGAGAUUCUGCAAGAUACCAAGCAAUGCCUCUAUAUCUGAAGAAAGGAAUCUGAAGUCUCUCUCAUCAUUGCCAAAGCAUUCCUUAUUCUGAAAUUCUCUUAUUUUAUCCUCCAUGGCUAAAAGCCCCUUUAGCCAUCUGAGCUGUAAAUCUUGAAAUAAGCGGUUCUGUUCUGCCCCAAAAACUUCUCUGCUGCUAAAUGGAGGGCAUAAUUUAGAAACCUUUAGCUGUUCAAGAUCACCUUUCAACUUUGAACACUCUGAUUUCAGUACAGAUACCUCUUUUACUAGCUCUUUUCCAGAAGCAAUCUCAGCAUCAAGUUGCUUAGCAAAUUUCUGUGCUUCAUGACCUAUGUUAUCAGCAUGACUCUGUAUCGAGUUUACCUCCAAUUUAAGCUCAUGAAUAGAUGACUCAGCUACUUCCAAGCUUCCUCUAAGCCUAAUAUUAUCUUCAUAAGCAGCCGCCAAAUCAUUGUCGACAGAAUAGUCUGAACUCCAGCCAUGAACCCAAUCAUUGGUCCCCUGCACUGAAAACCGAUGAUCAGAAGGAUCCCCCUUCUCCAGCUGAGGACUUUGACUGAGGGAAAGUCCAGCUAAAUCACCAGAGACAGUACUUCUAAUGCUAUCAAUUUCGUGUGUACUGGAGGUUUCAUGCUUCUCAGCAUAUAAGCUUUCUGAAGUAUUGGAAGAGCCAUCAAAUCCAACAGCCGAGUCUGCAUAUUCUUCAUUUGGCCCCACCUCUUCCUCAACUGAAGCAAGAUCUUUAGAUUUUUCUUUGAAUCUAACUCUUGUAUUUACCUUAUCUAUCUGAUCACUGAUUUCUGAAGAUGAUACUUUUCGGCCAGAAGAUUCAUCAGGACUAUUCUGGUCAGUCUGCAAUCCCCUUUCUCUCUGCUGCUCAAACUCUCUGAAACCAGUUUUAGAAGUAAGCAGCUGCACAGUGACAUGUAAAAUAGAGCCAGAAUCACACCCAUGAAGAGGCAGAGCAAUGACAGAAGGUUUUAAUGCAUCAGUAUAAUCAGCAAGGUUGAUGGUAGCCUCACCAAGUAUAGUAGAUCGUGUUGAACCCAUUGCCACAACAAGCUUAUAGAGUUUUUCAUCAUAUUGCUUGGUUUUAUUAUCUUGGAGAAGUCUGGUUGUCUCAUAGAUGGGAUCUGCCCAUUUACAGGCCCCAUUUCUCACAUUGGCUUUGGUUGUCUUUGCCGUUGCUUUUCCAGAAUCAGUAGGAAUGAAAGAUAUAAAAACCUUAUCCCAUCCUGAUUGUGGAAUAUGUGUAGCAUGAAAUUGUAGACGGAAGACCACUUUAACUUUUGUUUUCUCAAGCUUCCAUUUAGUGAUCCUCGACAUUACAGAAAAAUCAAUCUAUCAUCAGCCGCUUCAAUGAGGCACAAACCUCCCUAAAACGCCCGACCCAGAAACGAUAUCACAAUGUCCACCAAGGGAAACGUCCUGAUCCAAACCCUACAAGAAUAUAUUGAUUUUUCAAGAAUUUUAAUUCCAUAAACGACAAACAAGCACCAAAAAACGCACCCGCUUCACAGUAAAGGGGUCAAAAAGACUGACACAAAAGAGCAAAGAGUGAAAAAGAAUCCAAAAACCAAAUGCCCAGCUAAAUGUGGAAAAAUUUGCACCCUAUAAAGUCUAUUACACGAAAACUCCUUUUCUUUUCAAAGAAAAUCCACCCACCGAAUAAACGAAGAAACUAAGGAAAAGCCAGAGAACAGUACGCAUUUACCAGUUUAGAACUUCUUAGAGUAAAAAAAAAUUAAGAAAAAAUAAAAAAUUGGAGAAAACGCCAAAACAAGUAAAGAAAUGUAGAACCCAAAAAAUGCAGGGUAGCAACACAGGGAAAUCCGGGUGAAAACUCGAGAUUUAGAUCACUGGAAUCUUAAGUUGAGAAUAAAAAAAUAUUUAAAAAGUCGAGAAAAGAAACAUAUUAUACUGUGUGAAAGAAAUAAUAAAUGGGGUAGGUAGUAGCAAUUGGCAGAUUUGCAGGUGCUUAAGGUGGAAGCGAAAGCAGAGACUGUGUCUUCUCUCCUUGUCAAGCUUCAGAGAGAGGGAGUGCCCGUUUAGUGUUUAUGAUAGCUUUUUCUGAGAGAGAGUGACGCUUGUUGCUUAAAUUAGAGAAGAGAUUAUGGAAUAAUUGAGAGAUUUAUUUGAAUAUGGGAAUUAAAUAAAUAAGGUGAGAUUGAAGGUGAAACUUCAGCUUUCAGGGUAAUGAAGACUAGAAAUAGGAAUGACUUUUAACAUUAGAGAAG
rnacentral:misc_RNA from 1 species